rnacentral:rRNA from 1 species
UACGUAGGGUGCGAGCGUUGUCCGGAAUUAUUGGGCGUAAAGGGCUCGUAGGCGGUUUGUCACGUCGGGAGUGAAAACUCGGGGCUUAACCCCGAGCCUGUUUCCGAUACGGGCAGACUAGAGGUAUGCAGGGGAGAACGGAAUUCCUGGUGUAGCGGUGAAAUGCGCAGAUAUCAGGAGGAACACCGGUGGCGAAGGCGGUUCUCUGGGCAUUACCUGACGCUGAGGAGCGAAAGCGUGGGGAGCAAACGGG